rnacentral:rRNA from 1 species
UACGUAGGGUGCAAGCGUUAAUCGGAAUUACUGGGCGUAAAGCGUGCGCAGGCGGCUUUGCAAGACAGAUGUGAAAUCCCGGCUUACCUGGAACUGCAUUGUGACUGCAUGGCUGGAGUGCGCAGAGGAUGGAAUUCCGGCGUGUAGCAGUGAAUGCGUAGAGAUCCGGAGGAACCAGAGGCCGAAGCGGCGCCUGCUCGCAACGUGACGCUCAGACACGACAGCAUGGAGCGAACGG